UACAGAGGGUGCGAGCGUUAAUCGGAAUUACUGGGCGUAAAGCGUGCGUAGACGGUUUCGUAAGUCGGAUGUGAAAUCCCCGGGCUCAACCUGGGAAUUGCGUUCGAAACUGCAAGGCUAGGGUGCGGAAGAGGGAAGCGGAAUUUCCGGUGUAGCGGUGAAAUGCGUAGAUAUCGGAAGGAACAUCAGUGGCGAAGGCGGCUUCCUGGUCCAGCACCGACGUUCAGGCACGAAAGCGUGGGGAGCAAACAGG
rnacentral:rRNA from 1 species